UCGUUAAGGAGGAGUAUGUGAAUACGAGCGUAAACGUUUUGUUGUGUACUCCUUUGAGAGAGAGAGAGGGAGAACCUGUGUUGAUUGAGUUUCGUGAUUAUGAGAAGAGGCAAACGAACCAAAACAACCUUCUAAAAAGGAUAUGUUUUGUGUCCGUUCCAUAAGUGAUAUUUAUUUAGUCACAGGCCGCAUGCCGCCGCUCGAGAGAGUAGACAGAGUAAUCACGUGUUAUCAGGAAUACGAUAUCUGAUAAUGGAGUAACAAUCGCAGGGCUAAGAAACAUUGGAAAUGGUUACUAUGGAGUGAAAGAAGAUAUAAAAGCAUCUGAUAGACACGGUAGAAGCAAAAUACUUUAUAAUUUUUCAAUAUGAUGUCAAAACAUUGAACCUACAUUUGGCUGACAGGAUGGAGAAAGCCCUUCCACAUACUGCGCGAUAAUAUGUGGCUUUUAAUGAGAUACAUCUUCUGUUGGAAUACUGGAACCGAUUACAAAUUGAAAACUGCACGAGAAGAGGUUGCAUGGAAGAGCACGGAUGCAUACAAAAUACAUCGAGCGAGCGUAACCGAUUUUUGACCAACAGAGAUUUUUUUACGGAGCAAUUUCAUGUUUAGACACGGUUGGGAAUGUCUCUGGGAUUCCACAUCGCAGCAGCUUUGACGGCCCAAUCAUCGAAAUUAAAUCUCUGCUUCAUCUGUUUUACCGACUCCGCAUGUUUUUAAUUUAUUACUCCUGUAAUCUGUACCGUACAGAAUCUGUACCAAGAAAAUCGAAGAAAUCUGCACCAUUCCAGUACCUAAAUGUGUGCGUGUUGUCACACUGGUUGUAAUUUAUAUCCAUACGGACGAAUGAAUUCUGAAUAAAAGUACUAAUGAAAAGAAAAGCAUUAAAUCGUUUGGUCGUUCACAAAUUAAACCGAUGGAUGAAAUUGUUGACGUCGGACUGCGUAUUUUAUUUCUAUAUAAGGGGGGUCAUUCUACCAAAAAUGUAAAGAAAAAUUAAAAGAUUUCAAAUGCACAGCUGAAUAUAACGUCAACGCCUGGCGAAAACUAGAAAAGUUAACGAUAUUGUCAUUCACAAGCAAAAUGCACGUGGCUUACUUUGGCAAUGUAUGUUUAUUUUUUUAUUUGAAACAAGGAUUGGUUUAUUUAUUUAUUUAUUUAUAAUAACAAUCAACAAACCUGGUCCUGGUCCUGGUCCAAAUGAUUUCAACUUAACCUAAUCAUAGUUAACACGUUAAGCCUCGAUUUUUUUCUUGCUGCGCUUUCCACUCAGCGCGCAUCGAGAGCGUUUGCACAAUGUCAGUAUCGGUCCCAGUUCUCAUUAUGGUAUAAAUAGAAAAUAGUCAGCAAUUCGACUAGGAAGCAGUCACAUUUUCUUGAAAAUCUGAAAGCAAACCGUAUAUGUUUUUAUUUUAUUAUUUUAUAACUGUCGGUCUCGGUCAGUCAUCACUUUCCUACCAAAAAGCUCAACGUCAGCCCCUAGGGACCGACUCUGGGCUCAACGUGUUAAGAACCGUUGCUUUAGCUUGUUCCUGGAGAAAUUUAAAUCAAAUACGGGGGAAUUGAAGAGGCGCGGCAAUCGCGUUAUUGCGGAAUGCAUGCCGUAGUUCGAUCGCCGGGAUAACAUUCGCAAGAAUUGUGCACUACACAAAUGUCGUUGAGAUCAGCAACAAACAAUGACUUCGUCUGGUAUGCAGAGAGUCCAAGUGGAUCAGCUAACUGCGGCCUAGCUUGGAAGCCGAAACGAAUCACGACAAGGCAGCAGUCGGAGAGCGUAUCUUGUAAAACGUCGUUGCACUGAUUCGAUUCAUGUGUUUUGAAAGCACGGAUUUCAGACGACGCUUCCAUACUCCAGGGAAAGAACCAGCGCGCAAUACAACGAUUUGAGGCAAUAAACAUCGGAGAAACUCUUGGAGACUCUCAUGAUGCAACCAAAGUUCCUUGAUGCCUUUCCAACGAUGUGUGAGAUGUGUUGCUUGAAUGUCAAUUUUGAAUCCAGAACCACUCCACAAUGCUAGCGGCAGUACUUCCCGGUUCCUGAUGACCAUCAUUGCUGUGCGUGGUGCGUUCUGCGCGAUUCGCGAAGAGCGUUGCCGAUUAAACGGUGUAGUGCUGAAACCAAGCAGCGAAUCACGGGUUGAUCUGAUCGAAAGAUAUCUGUACUUGGCUGACGAAACAGGCUGGACUUCCCCCAUCUCGGCCUAUCGAACAAAAGGCCGGGACGACUGCGGCAGAAACCGAUGAGAUAAGGUUCGACUGUGACGAGAGGAUAAGGGCCUCCAAAGAGCCUGUUUGUGUGCGUCCCGGAUUGACCUCGAUGAUUCUAAGACGAGUUCAGACGAGAUGACGUAGGAUCGUUUUUGACGUAGAACUACGUCUUUCAGGAAGGGUACCAAAUCAGAUUUCGGUCACGUUUUCAUGAAAUAAAGUUAACGUUAAUAACUAUUUUCACUGUGAACGAAUUCUCAUGGUUUGCAUACCAAUCGAAUCGGAAAUUCACUAAGAUUUGUUUGAUAUACUAUACAUUACAAUUCGCUAAUCUCUAAACGGUUUAAAUUCAUGAAAACUGGAAGAACUUCCUUUUUCCCAUACAUUUGUUCUGCCGAUUUGUGUGCUAGCCCUACCCGUAUUUCGAAUGCUUAUAACUCGAACAUUUCUUAAUAGAUCGGAAAGAUGUUUGCACUUUGCAAAUACUUUCAUUUCAGAUACUUGAGGUGAAUGAAGUUCACGGUUCGAGAACUACGUAAACAUGAGAUAAUUUCAGAGAGAAAUGUAAAAUACAAUGAUCGUUUGACAUUUUUUCCGUUCAAAUAUUUUGGUAGUUCUAGGCAUCAUAUCGUUUUCGUUUUCGUUUUUAUUAUUACAAUUAGCAACAGGCCUGAACAUUAGUGCCCUAAUGAUAAAUUUAAUUUAUACUAUUUACUUAUUGUCUAAGAGCGGUAUAAAAAGUCUUCUUUAAAUUAGAACGAGUAAGGUUGAAAUCAAAGGGUGUGAACCAACGGUUGAAGACGCGACACAUGCUUGAUACGGGUUCAUUAUACCCGUAAUUGGUACGUGAGGAGGGUAUAAAAAGAAAUGUGCGAGUGCGCAAAUUUCGUGAUGUUUUAUUGAAAUUAUUGGAAUCGAGAAGACCUGAACAGUCUAUAUUAGAGAGAAUUAGGUCAGAUAUGAAGGUCGCCUUAGCGACGUCCCUUCGCAAACUCAGUAAAUCGAACCCAAUCAACCUACAACGAGCUUCAUUGUUAGGAAGAUUCGAAGGAUCGUUCCAGGGUAAAUUACGUAGAGCGAAACGAACAAAUUUAUGCUGAAUUGCCUCGAUGCCCUGGACACCAUUCUGGUAGCAAGGCGACCAUACAACACAAGCAUACCCAAUGAUUGAGCGAACCAAUGCACAGUAGAGAGCUUUGAUACAGUGUUUGUCCUUCAAGUGUUUUGUGAUGCGGAAUAUGAAACCCAGGAGUCUGGAUGCUUUAGUGGUGAUAUACGAGAUGUUCUCUGUGAAUGUUAGUUUUUUUUUUUUAACUGUAUUAUAGUGACUUCCAACUCAUUUGGCUGGUUCGUCACUUUUACUUCCAUUUUUGGAAGAAUGUCGGGAGUGAGAAUUGAACUCGUGACCUUUAGCGUGAGAGGCAUGGAUGUUACCACUACGCCAGAUCGCCUCCACAAGUGAAUGUUAGUUUUGAAUCAAGGAUGACGCCAAGAUCCUUGAUGAUCUCAACGCGAUUUAAAUGCUCAUUGCGUAGUUUAUACGAAAAGACAAUAGGUGAAAGUAGGUGAACGCUUCCGCGAGAAUGAUAUGACUGAGCAUUUCGAUGGAUUCAAAACCAUUCUGUUGAUAUUGCACCAUUCAGGGAAAAGAUCGAGUUGAUUUUGUAAGUAUACUGCCUCGUUAGUGCAAUUUACGGAUGUAAAUAGCUUGAAAUCAUCAGCAUAUGCGAAUUUCUGACAUUUCACGCAAGAGUUAACAUGGUUGAGAUAAAGUAAGAAAAUGUAAGGACUAAGGUGACUACCUUGAAGUACUCCAGAUGUCACUUCGAAAGGAGAUGAUAUAGCGUCACCGAUUUUUACUGCCAUCAUGCGAUCUGUCAAGUAUGAAUGUAACCAGCUCAAAAAAGAGCCGUGAAAUCCAAGACGUUUGAGUUUAGCCACUGCGAUAGCAUGAUUGAUUUUAUCGAACGCGGCCGAAAAAUUAGUAUACACAGCGUCAAUUUACAAACGUGAUUGUAGAAAGCGGGCGAUAAUUGAUGUGUAUAAUACCAAAUUAGUUGAUGUGGACCGUUUGGAAACGAAACCGUGUUGUUGUUCGGAAAUAUAACUUCUGCAGGCAUGAGAGAUGAAAUCUAAAACUCUAAUUUCAUAUAAUUUUGUAACAGAACAAAGACUGGCGAUUCCUCUGUAGUUUUCUACAUCUUUCCUGUUGCCCUUUUUGUAGACUGGGAAAACAUGAAUUUUUCUAAGCACGUGGAAAUUUUCCAGAGGAUAAUGAGCGGUUGAAUAGCAGGCACAGCGCAGACGAAAGACUGGUAGAGCACUUUUUA